UACAGAGGCCCCAAGCAUUAUCCGGAAUCACUGGGCGUAAAGGGUGUGUAGGCGGCUUUGUUAGUCCGUCGUGAAAGCUUCUGGGCUCAACCCAGAAAACGCGGUGGAAACGGCAAGGCUUUGGGGACGCGAGAGGUAGAGGGAACUCAUGGUGUAGGGGUGAAAUCCGUUGAUAUCAUGGGGAACACCAAAUGCGAAGGCACUCUACUGGCGCGCUCCUGACGCUGAGACACGAAAGCGUGGGGAGCAAACAGG
rnacentral:rRNA from 1 species